rnacentral:rRNA from 1 species
UGGGGAAUUUUGGACAAUGGGCGAAAGCCUGAUCCAGCAAUGCCGCGUGUGUGAAGAAGGCCUUCGGGUUGUAAAGCACUUUUGUCCGGAAAGAAAUGGCUCUGGUUAAUACCUGGGGUCGAUGACGGUACCGGAAGAAUAAGGACCGGCUAACUACGUGCCAGCAGCCGCGGUAAUACGUAGGGUCCAAGCGUUAAUCGGAAUUACUGGGCGUAAAGCGUGCGCAGGCGGUUGUGCAAGACCGAUGUGAAAUCCCCGAGCUUAACUUGGGAAUUGCAUUGGUGACUGCACGGCUAGAGUGUGUCAGAGGGGGGUAGAAUUCCACGUGUAGCAGUGAAAUGCGUAGAGAUGUGGAGGAAUACCGAUGGCGAAGGCAGCCCCCUGGGAUAACACUGACGCUCAUGCACGAAAGCGUGGGGAGCAAACAGGAUUAGAUACCCUGGUAGUCCACGCCCUAAACGAUGUCAACUAGUUGUUGGGGAUUCAUUUCCUUAGUAACGUAGCUAACGCGUGAAGUUGACCGCCUGGGGAGUACGGUCGCAAGAUUAAAAGCUCAAAGGAAUUGACGGGGGCUCAUAGCUGUUU